AGAGUUUGAUCCUGGCUCAGAACGAACGCUGGCGGCAUGCCUAACACAUGCAAGUCGAACGAACCCUUCGGGGUUAGUGGCGCACGGGUGCGUAACGCGUGGGAAUCUGCCCUUAGGUACGGAAUAACAGUGAGAAAUUACUGCUAAUACCGUAUGAUGUCUUCGGACCAAAGAUUUAUCGCCUAGGGAUGAGCCCGCGUAGGAUUAGCUAGUUGGUGAGGUAAAGGCUCACCAAGGCUACGAUCCUUAGCUGGUCUGAGAGGAUGAUCAGCCACACUGGGACUGAGACACGGCCCAGACUCCUACGGGAGGCAGCAGUGGGGAAUAUUGGACAAUGGGCGAAAGCCUGAUCCAGCAAUGCCGCGUGAGUGAAGAAGGCCUUCGGGUUGUAAAGCUCUUUUACCCGGGAAGAUAAUGACCGUACCGGGAGAAUAAGCCCCGGCUAACUCCGUGCCAGCAGCCGCGGUAAUACGGAGGGGGCUAGCGUUGUUCGGAAUCACUGGGCGUAAAGCGUGCGUAGGCGGCCAUUCAAGUCAGAGGUGAAAGCCCAGGG
rnacentral:rRNA from 1 species